rnacentral:lncRNA from 1 species
CAGGAAAUAUGGCAGCUAUGAUGAAUUUAUACAAUAACAUACAACUUCGCUUAGAUCCAUAUUCAGAUCCUUUUAGAGGUGAAUUAAUGGAAGUUCUUGAACCUUUUAUCAAAAGUCCUUCUCCGAAUUCAACACCAUCACCUUCUUCUUCUUCUUCUUUCCAUUCUUUCUACAAUGAUGGUUGUUCAACAUCGAUGACCCAUGGAUUUACCAACGGGUUAUCGAAUAGCCAGAACUUCAUAGGCUUUGUUCAACAACCAUCUUCUUCUUCUCUUCUUGGUCUUAACCAUUUGACCCCAUCUCAAAUCAACCAGAUCCAAGCACAAAUCCAACACCAAAACUUUACCUUGCAACAACAUCAACAACAGCAACGUCUCAGUAACACUCUUAGCUUCCUCAGUCCGAAGCCAAUCCCUAUGAAGCACGUGGGUAAUACUCCUUCAAAACCCACGAAGCUAUACAGAGGGGUGAGGCAAAGGCACUGGGGAAAAUGGGUUGCUGAGAUCAGACUCCCUAAGAAUCGAACCAGGCUUUGGCUUGGUACCUUUGAUACAGCAGAAGAAGCUGCUUUGGCUUAUGACAAAGCUGCUUAUAAGCUUCGUGGUGACUUUGCUAGGCUUAAUUUCCCGAAUCUCAAACACCAAGGUUCAUGUAUUGGUGUCGGUGAGUUUGGUGAGUAUAAACCUCUUCCUUCCUCGGUUGAUGCUAAACUUCAAGCUAUUUGUGAAGGUUUAGCUGAGAUGCAGAAACAGGGGAAGUCAGAGAAGCCUAAAAAAACACCAGCGGCUCGGUCCAAAGCUGCGUCGAAGGUGGUACCUUCGCCGGAGACGGUGGAGAAGUCUGUUGAUGAUUUGGAGAAGGGUUCUGGUUCAGUUUCAGAAGGGUGUUGUAAGGUUGAAGCUUCGAUUUCUCCGGUGAUGACCGAGACCGAGAGUGAAGGUUCUUCACCACUUUCAGUUCUUACUUUUGGUGAUGUUGGUGAACCACAGUGGGAAGGUGAUUCGGAAAAUUUUAAUUUGCUGAAGUACCCCUCUUAUGAGAUUGAUUGGGAUUCUCUGUGAAGUUUAGUGUCCUUAUAUGUAAUUUUUUUAUAAAUUUUCUAGUGAAGAUUCUCAUGUCAUGCAUGUAACUAGAUUUUAGUUUCUUAGAAAAGUGGUUACUGCAAUGGAAUUUUUGACAAUUGCAGUGCUACUACUUUAAGUAUAUUAUUGUAAAAUCUCUUGUUACCUUGUUCACAGCUGGUUUUUUUCUUGCUUGGCCGGGAGAAGAGAAGACACUUGUUAUGUUUAUCAGUGUUCAUAUUUGUAGCUGAAUCUAUUUAUGAAAUAUAAGUAUAAAUAUUGUAGUAGUGUAGUGUUUUGUUUCUAGUUAUGUUGUUCUAUUUGUUAGAUCUACAAUCAUAUCUUCGAUGGAGUUAAAAAAAAUCAUCUGAACUCACUAUCUCAUUAUUUUGGAGAUUAUUUCCAAUACAAAUUGUCUUAAAUGGAUGUGCGCAGAGUUGGCCAACUGUGCCGAUCCCCAAUAAUUGCAUGAUACUGUUAAAUUAACUCCUCCUACCUACCUCGACAAUAUCAAAUCUAACCAGUUAAAUUUAAGAGUGAAAUUUUAAACAAUGCUAGUAUAAAUAUAAAAUUUAUACGGUCUCAUCUUGAUCUUAACAAUUUUUUAAGCAGUCAAAUAUAGCCGGCCUCUUAACAAUUAGCCUCAUAUAUUAUUGGAUUUGCCUCUGUCCGAAGGGAUCCAAAAUCGCACCAUUUUGAACACUCCAUGGACUUGCCUAUGUCGGAAGGGAAUCCAAAAUCACACCAUUUUGAAUAAAAAGUAUGGUUUGAAGAUGUAUAUUUAUAUAUUAUUUGGAUGUAUUUGAAGAUGCAUCUCUAAAAUAUCUCUUGUAUAUAUUUAUGAUGUUUUUAUUCACUGAACUAUUUUAUUUAGAGACUUAAUGAUGUUUCCAGAGAUUCAUCUUCAAAAAUAUUAAGCGGAGAUUUGGAUAAAAUCAGUUUUUCAACAACGAAGCAUCAUUCAUGUAUUUCAUCACAUCAAAGAUUCCAAAAGAAGUUGGAAUUGUAAGUAAAAUUCAUUCAUUUCAUCCCUCAUUCCUUGCAUUAAUGUGAUUUUUGAGUUGAAAAUAUGAACUUCGAGUCCAUAUAUGUAUCUCUGGACAAAGUUUGGUGUGGUACAAAUAUGGAUCUCCGUCUUUGCCUGAUACUUUGAAUCUUAAAAUAUGUUUUUUUAUGUUAUUUGUUGUAUUAGAUAUGGUGCAUUUGAAUAUAUUUUCCAAAGCUAUUGUGACCAUGAAUGUUAAACUAUAUGAAGUGAACGAUUAUGUUAGACCAAAUGAUGUUAAAUCGAUUGAUCGACCCGUUGUUGUCGAGGUAGAUAUUCGUGCAUAAUUUACAAAUAAGCAAGAGUUUAUGGAUCGUGAACAUAUGCUACAAUAGGUCGUAUGGAGGUUGGGAAAUUGGGGUUUGGCAUUGUAAUCGGAAGAUCCAACAAUGGUUCGAAUAAAAGACAAACAUUUGUAACAAUGAGAUGCGAAAAAAGUUGCAGUACCAACCACAAAUUAGGAAGUUGAAACGAGAUGACACUGAAUCAAGAAUAUGUGAGUAUCUGUUUAAAUUGCGCGAUUACCAUAUGGCAGAUGACACCAGGAAAUUUAAUGUGAUUUCCGGUAUACAUAAUCAUGUCUUGACUAACAAGCUAGCCAGUAAAUCCCAUUGUAUAUCGCCUUAUUCUAGAGGAAAGGGAUCUUGUUUCAGACAUGACAUUAGACAUAGUGGCGUCGAAAAACAUACUCGCAUCUUUGAAACAAAAAUGAACUCUAAAUAUUUUAAAUAUCAAGCAAAUAUACAACAUGCGUGCUCGAAACAACAAGGCAGUAUGAGGACCAAGAUUUGAGAUGCAACAACUAUUGAAGCAUUUGGAAGAUGACCACUAUGUUUCUAAGUAUAGAGUUUGUGAGGAUAAAGUCACCGUUCGAGGUAUAUUUUGGAGUCAUCCCGAUUCCAUCAAAUUGUUCAACACAUUUUCCACCGUGCUUAUAAUUGAUUCAACAUACAAAACAAACAAGUAUAUAUUUUCACUCCUAGAAAUUGGUGGUGUUACUUAUACGGAGAUGACAUAUUCAGCCGAUUUUGCAUUUUUGGAAUCCGAAAAGAGGACAAUGUUACAUGAAUUUGGAAAUGUGCAAGACUAUGUUAAAAGACCAAGAGAACAUGCCACAAGUAUUAGUCACCAAUCAUGACACCACACUGAUGAAUUCGAUUCCAAUUAUGUUUUCUACAUCGUAUGCAUCACUUUGUAAGUAUCACAUAAUAAAAAAAUGUGAGAAGUCGACAAAAACCUGCGUUUGACAAAAAAAAAAUCAAAGGUAACGAUGAAAAAAUGGUCAAACCCAGUGUCGUGGUGGAAAAGAUAGUGGAUGCAUGAAAUGGCAUAAUAAAUUCUUCCACGGAAGAAUUAUAUACCGAAUCUGUAAUACAUUUUAGGAAGGUGUGCGUGAGAUAUCCAGAUUUCAUGAAAUAUGUUAAGGGCACUAUUUUGGACAAGGUAAAAGAGAAGAUUGCUAGUGCAUGGACCGAUCAGGUUAUGUUAUUUUUCCAUUCUGCCAUUGGUCCUGGUUGUUUUUGGUUUGAACUAACAGAGUAUAUUCCAGAGAUGCAUCUCUGGAAAACUCAUUGAAUAUUGAACAGAGGGGUUUACGAAGAUGCAUCUCCAAACUUAAUUUUAAUAGAACAAGGGUUUCUCAACAAUUUCAUCUGAGGUGCGUGAAAAGGUGGGUUCGGAGACAGUUGUGACUUUUCACGGAGGUGGGGUUGCAAUCAUAAGGGUGGAAAGAGUAAUUAUCUCUUUUUAGGCAGGUAAAGACAUGCCAAUCCAACGUAUUUUGAAGAAGAAAUUUUAUUUAUGCUAUUUAAAAAAUAAUAUUUAAUUAAUAAUUAAAUCAGUUUUUUAAAUAAAUUCUUUUUAUGGUUUUAUAUAUAAUAAUAAUUUUUAUUAUUGUUCAGAGCUGGCUAAAAGUCUAAAUAGUUAAGGCCUAAUCCAUCUCAAAUUCACUCCACCUAACCAACGGUAUGAAACUAGUGCAUAAGAAAAACAAAGUACAUUAUCUAAUCUCCAUUUUUCAAUAUACUUAUCUCGAAUCUCGAUUUGACUUGGGCGUUGAAGUGCUAACUUUGCAGGUCCAUCCCAUGCCGGCAUAUUAUAGAUCAACACUACCGUUUCAAGACAUUUAAUUUUCCAAAUGCAUCUAUUUUUGGUUCCACAAUUGUAUCAUAUAUGGGAAUCGACUUCUGAUUUAUGCGAAAUUACAUUACCGGAUCAAUCUCGAUAUUAAGCCAACUCUCUAUCGGAAAUAAGAGAGUAGAGGCGGUAAAUUCGAUAGUCAUGUCAAGGUUCAUUAAUCCAUCUCUUGCAUCAAUCAUCAACCAGUUAUCACCGAUCAACGAAUUCCACAACAUUGCAUCAUUUAACACCCAUAUACAUCUUACCCACUUAGGUUCUUUAAAUAGGGUCCAUAACACCGCAGUUUUUGAGUUAUUAUUUUGACUGAUUUAUUUGUAUUUUAAUUUAUUUAUCACGUGCGAUAGUUGAAUUGAUUUGGAUGUGUGUGACCUUGAGGUGGGAGUGUAGAGAGUAAGUAGAAGUUAGUGAAGUUUAUUUAGGAUAAUUGGAAUUUAUUUUAAUAAUUAAAAUAAUACUAUUUUAUGGAAUUUAUUUAAUUAAAAUAAGAAUCUAGAGAGUUUGGGUGAAAUUUGUGAAUUAAGAGAAAUAUAGGGGAGGAAGGAGUAAGAGUAAUUGUUAGUAAGGGAGAGAAUUAUAGUUAUGACUAGAUUACCCUAGUUAUAUAAGGUUAAGAUAUAACCUAGGUUUAAGGAUUUUCCUAUCAGUGCAUGAAACGAGGAUUAGAGGCACAAAUGAGAUAUAAGGUUAGAGCUUUGGAGAGAAUGGAAGAACAAUCAGAGACCAGAAUUUUGCUAUUACUGCUAGGAAAACCAGGUAAGGGGGGAGAAUUGAUUCAAUAAUGGGUAUAUGCUUGAGGGGUAGAAUGAAGGAGUUCUUAACCUCCAUAAGGAUUCUUUGAGUCUUCAUAAAAUUCUGAUCUUGUGAAAAAUGAUUGAAUUGAUGUUUAUGUUGUUAGAUAUUAAAUUUGUGCAUUGUAAUAUGUAUGAAAUUAUGUUUUAAUUUGUGGAGGAAAGUUCACCAUUGUUGGGUGUUUGAAGGUUUGGGAAUAGCAUGAAUAUAUGAAAACCAUGAAAUAAAUGUAUUGAUUUGAUGAAUUUGGGUGUUGUUGAUGAUUAUAUAACAUGUAUAUGCUAUUAUGGGUCGAAUUUGUAUGAUUGAGACAGGAGUAUUGGAGUUCUGCAGUGAACUCCAUUUAGUAGAACAAAUUCUGCAACUUUCAAGGUAAUGACGGGCAUCACCACUGUGACGGGUAACCCGUCAUUCUGCCCAUGCUUGUGCUUCAAAUGGUCGUCAUUUGAGUGACAAUUUGGAUGUUUAGGGUUGGUGACAGGCGUCACUACUGUGACGGGUAACCUGCCAUGGGUCUGCAGUGAGUGCAAAUGCUCGUGUUGAUGAUAUUAAAUGUCAAAUUUUGACUUUUUGACUUUUCUGGAUGUUUUGGGUACUAUUAUACUAUGUUAGUUGUUGGUUUAAAUGAUGUUGGUAUGAUUUAACGAUUAAACACAAUUUUAAUUGAAUUUAAGAAGUAUUUGAUGAAUGUUGGAUAUGGUAUACAUGAGGAUGAUAUUGUGUUAAUUUGUAUGAAUUGUAAUGAUGAUAUGUUGUUGUAUUAGCAUGAAUUACGUUGUUGAAUUGUGAGUAUGUUGUUGUGGGAUGAUAGUUCGAGAGGGAAACUAUUAUCGUUGGGUCAAUGCAUAUUUUGUUUAUUGCUGGGAGGGGAAUUUAAACAUUAUGUUGUUCUUGAAUUGACGUGUUGUGACAUGCAUUCAUUAUGUCGCUGUUGUUGAUGAAAAAGGCAAGGUGCAAUUCUAAUAGGGUGGAUUAGUGACUUGUCUUGAAUCUGAGCAGGGUGGAUUAGGGAUUUGAGUAGGGUGAACCUGGUUCCUGAGUGAGCUAAUUAAUGAUGAUAUGGUACCAUAUGUGUGUAUUUGAAGUUGUUAGUCUCAUUGCAUAAUUGAAUCGAUGAAUAUGUGAUUGCAUUGUGUAUGAUGAUGGAUUGGAUGUGAGAAUAAUGUUGUGAGAUUGAUAUGGAUUGUGUAGAUGUUUGAAUUCUACUUUACAGCUUAUGCCGUUAAUUUAUUGAUGUGAAUUCUCACCCCCUUUGCUUUGAUGUUGUCCACCAUGGACAUCUUACAGAUACCGAGGAGUAGAGUUGCUACUAUGAGUGAGGAAUAACUCUUGGAGUUAUUUCCAUUUAGUUUCUUUGUUAUUUAGUGGAUAUGCUCUGAUCAUAUAACAUUGGGUCUGGGGCGUUUGUUUUACUUGUUAAAUUCGAAUUAAUGUCUUGAGGAGUUUUUAUGACGUUAUUUUGAAGUUGAGAACAAACAUAAUUUUGUCGAGUAUUUUAAUUUGAUUAUCCGCUGCUAUUUAAAUAAAGUUGAGAUGUUUUGAAGUUGGUAAUACUUUAAUCAGCGUAUAAUGCUUGUUAUAUAAGUUUUGCGGUUAGGGUGUUACAAUAGUGAUAUCAGAGCAGGUCAGUUCGUUUGGCCAGAUUUUUGCAUGAUAAUAGUUCCCUAGUAUGUAACAUGUGUGUGUACACUGUCGAUGCAUUGUUUCUUCCAUUGUAUAUUUAAUGGUGUGCAGAGUGGAUGGAAGAAAUGAUCGCGCAAUUGAUGAUGCUUUAGAGUAGGCACUACAUGGGCAAUAAAAUCAGGCUAGUGAUGAGUUCCGCGACUUGGGAAAGUUUUAGUGGAAUAAUCCACCGACGUUCAAGGGUAGGUAUGACCCAGAGGGUGCUCAUACAUGGCUGAAAGAGAUUGAAAAUAUUUUCCGAUUAAUGGCAUGUACUGAAGAGCAGAAGGUAUUGUUUGGUACUCACAUGUUGUCUGAAGAAGCUGAGGAUUGGUGGGAUAGCGCAUGCCAGAGACUAGAGGUUACUUGUACUGAGGUUACAUGGGUUAUAUUCAGACUGUAGUCUCUGGAGAAGUACUUCCUUGAGGAUGUGCGUAGCAAGAAGGAGAUUGAAUUCCUUGAGUUGAAGAAAGUAAUUCGACGGUUGCAUAGUAUGGUGUAAAGUUUGAGAAGCUAGUGAGUUAUGUACACAUUAUAAUAGUGAUGUUGACGAGGGUUCAAAAUGAAUCAAGUUUGAAAGUGGGAUGUGUAACACUCCGAUAAAAUAUGAUAAUUAUUUAAUUUAAGUUUAAUAGUAUAUUAUGAUGAUAAUAUGAAUGAGAGGGUAUUAUUUUUCAAAAUAAAAGAUAAACCAUUCAUAUAUAUUAUUAUUAUCCGCUUCUCUAAUCCCUUUCUGUUUAAUUAUCUGUUUUCAAUUUAUAUCUUUGGGUAUUGUCUUUUAAUUCACAAUUAAAAGUAACAACACUUGAAGAUUUUCGAAAGCAGCGUGUUUUCAGAAUCGAGAUUCCAGCUUUUAUGUUAACUGUAAAGUUCGUUUGAAAUUAGCCACAAAAAGGUGGAUUUGUUUUGAAUCCCCUUCAUGGCUAUUCUGUCAUUUCUUCUUAAUUCAAGGUUUGAAAGGAUUGGUCUAUUUAAAAUCCCUUCUAUAUCCCUUGUUUGAAUUUUUUUCCUUUAAUUAACCUGUUCUUCAAUCUUAGGAAAGAUUCGGUAUAAGUUUUCCAGCGAAAAAUAUGGCAGCUAUGAUGAAUUUAUACAAUUAACAUACAACUUCGCUUAGAUCCAUAUCAGAUCCUUUUAGAGGUGAAUUAAUGGAGUUCUUGAACCUUUUAUCAAAAGUCCUUCUCCGAAUUCAACACCAUCACCUUCUUCUUUCUUCUUCUUUCCAUUCUUUCUUUACCAAUGCAUGGUUGUUCAACAUCGAUGACCCAGGAUUACCACGGUUAUCGAAUAGCCAGAACUUCAUAGGCUUUGUUCAAAAACCAUCUUUUCUUCUCUUCUUGGUCUUACAUUUGACCCAUCUCAAAUCAACCAGAUCCAAAGCACAAAUCCAACACCAAAAACUUUACCUUGCAACAACAUCAACAACAGCAACGUCUCAGUAACACUCUUAGCUCCUCAGUCCGAAGCAAUCCCUAUGAAGCACGUGGGUAAUACUCCUUCAAAACCACGGAAGCUAUACAGAGGGUGAGGCAAAGGCACUGGGGAAAAUGGGUUGCUGGAUCAGACUCCCUAAAGAUCGAACCAGGCUUUGGCUGGUACCUUUGAUACAGCAGAAGAAGCUGCUUGGCUUAUGACAAAGCUGCUUAUAAGCUUCGUGGUGACUUGCUAGGCUUAAUUUCCGAAUCUCAAACACCAAGGUUCAUGUAUUGGUGUCGGUGAGUUUUGGUGAGUAUAAACCUCUUCCUUCCUCGGUUGAUGCUAAACUUCAAAACUAUUUGUGAAGGUUUAGCUGAGAUGCAGAAACAGGGGAAGUCAGAGAAGCCUAAAAAACACCAGCGCUCGGUCCAAAGCUGCGUCGAAGGUGUACCUUCGCCGGAGACCGUGGGAGAAGUCUGUUGAUGAUUUGGAGAAGGGUUCUGGUUCAGUUUCAGAA